GCAGGGGGGCCGCAGCUCUCUGUGGAGGGAGCCGCUGUGCUUCCGUCACGUGCUCCCUUUCUUGCGUCUCCCUGUGAUUGGCCCUUAGGCCUGGCUGGGCCCAUUGCAUAUCCGUGUGGUGGCUUUCUGUGGCCCCUGCUGUGUUGGCAGGCAGAUUUGCGUGGUGAGGAGCGGGAGGGGUUGGAGUGGUGUGGGAGCAGGCUGCCGAGUGGAGGGUGCCAUUGAGGGCUCCGGAUCCCUUGUCCUACUUAGCAGUGUUGGUCUCUGGGGCUGGAAGCUGAGCGCAUGCUGGGAGCGGUACUGUCAGAAGUGAGCCCAGUUAGUACCCAGCUGGCUCACUGCACAAGAGAGUCCUGCCCCAAGCCCUAGGUGGGGCCAGGAGGU
rnacentral:sRNA from 1 species